rnacentral:lncRNA from 1 species
UGUCUGAUGCUUCCCAAAGGCUCCCAGGCAAAGCCAUCGGGUCUGGGCCAGGCAGAGCUCAGGCGGGCCCCGUGGGGGACAGCCUCAGUCUCUCAGCUGUUAGCAAAGUAGAUCUUACAGCCAAUCGCACAGCCACAGCAUCUUUUAGAUAGAUAACCUUCUCUUUGGUGAACUAAAUAUUGACAGAAGUUGAAGAACCGGAACUCUCCAGUUAAGGUGGAAGUUGGGGACGAGGCCUAUAUCUCCUCACCUCCAUGCAGGAAGCCUGAGGCACUGCCGGGGAACAUGGUGUAACAGCAGGGACCUGCCCAUCUGUAAGAUCAGCUCAGUGCUCAGCACCCACAGUGGUGCCCUUCAUCAGGAGAUCGACCUCUGAUCACAUUUCAUUAUGAAAAAUGGCUCCAUAUUCCAUUGAUUUUGAUGGAUGAUAGAAGGCCACGUCUCCAUGCCCCUUACUCGGGUUAGCCCAUUCACUGACAUAACAGCUCAGGCAGUGGAAUGUGGUCAAUAGUACCCCGGCAGGGUGUGCUUUCCAUCUGCAGGAAGGUCUUCUGACCCACAUGCUCUUCCCAGCACGCCCUUGGCACACCCCCAAGGUCUAGUGGAAUCCAUGUCCCAUCAGUGUUCUACUAGAGACCCUUUACUUCCUACCCCUAGGGAUACCAGAAUAUUUUCCAACACAGCUUCAGAAUCUCC